AACGCGAAGAACCUUACCAAGGCUUGACAUGACGGAAGUAGCAACCUGAAAGGGAAGCCACCUGUUGAGUCAGGAGCCGUCACAGGUGCUGCAUGGUUGUCGUCAGCUCGUGCCGUGAGGUGUUAGGUUAGGUCCUGUAACGAGCGCAACCCUCGUUGCCAGUUGUUUUCUCUGGCGAGACUGCCCUGUGAAAUGGGGAGGAAGGUGGGGAUGACGUCAAGUCAGCACGGCCCUUAUGCCUUGGGCUACACACACGCUACAAUGGGUGGUACAAUAGGUAGCAAUAGAGCGAUCUGGAGCCAAUCCUAAAAAGCCAUCCUCAGUUCGGAUUGCAGGCUGAAACCCGCCUGCAUGAAGUCGGAGUUGCUAGUAACCGCAGGUCAGCAUACUGCGGUGAAUACGUUCUCGGGCCUUGUACACACCGCCCGUCACGUCAUGAAAGUUGGCAACACCUGAAGUCGAUGGGCUAACCCCGACUUGUCGGGGAGGCAGUCGCCGAGGGUGGGGUUGAUGAUUGGGACGAAGUCGUAACAAGGUAACCUUAAUUAAAA
rnacentral:rRNA from 1 species